UGCAUCUUGGAUGUUGGGAAUAAUGCUC
rnacentral:piRNA from 1 species